UUUAACUUGAGAAAAAAAAAAGACUACAGAUUAACACCAUGUCAGAUUUUGUACAAUCACCAGAAAUUGAUUUUACCUUUCUAGAGCCACCAUUCACAGGUGUAAAAAACAUAGUUGUAAUUAAACUUCGUUAAAAUAUUAGCAACCGCCGUCAUGACACAGAAAGCGAGACCACACCGGAGGUGCAAAUAGAAAUAGUCAAAUUGUAGUUGAGGUUCCCAUUUUUCUCUAAAAAAAAUAAAUGUUUAAAAUUUACUUAUUUAUUAUGCAAAUAGGUGUUUGCCUGCAUAUAUGUCUGUAUACCACAUGUGAGUGUUAGGAAGUAAACCCAGGUCUUUUGGAAGAUCAGCCAUCUUUCCAGCCCCUAUGCAUUAGUUUUUUGAGGUGAGGUCUCUCUUUGAAGCUGAAGUGUAUGCAUUUGGCCAGGCCUACCAUUCCCCUCCUGCACAGUAACACUGAGAUCUUAGAUGUACACCACCAUGCUCGGCUUUUUAACAUGGGUUCUGGGCCUCUGAAUUCCUGCACGUGUGGCGACCAAUGGACCAGCUAAGCCGUCUCUCCAGCUCCAGGUUGUCAGCUCUUGAGCGGUUCUGAGAGUUGCUUGGGUUUGGCACCCGAAUACAAUUUUUGCAGCAGUGUACUCGUCAGUGCUAGCCAAUCCUGCUAGCAAAGGCGGUGAGCUGACCAAGUGUCUCAGAGGACAGAGCACUUGGUUGCUGCUCAGAAUAAUGGAGGGGGAGGGUCCUGACCCGACACUGAGGAAGCUUUAUGAAGCAAGAAAGAAUGACAAGUUGAAAGUAAUUUCAAAAAUGGUGGAACCUGUUGGAUUUGGACCAAAUAAGUCCUUUAAAAAUAAAGUCAUAGCUCAGACGUUCAUAAAAUUCCAGACCUCUGUGGAUACUGUCUGUCUCUCUGUGUGUCUGUGUCUGGGUGUGUCUCUAGGUGUGUCUGUCAGUCUGUCUUGUCUGCGUAAGUGUGCAGUGUACGUGCAUGUGCCUAUGGAUGCCAGAAGAGAGGGCCAGAUCCUCAAGUUGGGGUUACAGGUAAUUGUGAACCAUAAGACACAAGUGCUGGGAACUGAACUUGGUUUCCUCUCCAAGAGCGUUCUCUUGACCUUGGCCACCUCUCCAGACCCUUAAGUAGACACCUAUCUUUGUUCUUUACACCCCAGUGGUAGUGGCAGCAAGAAAGGUGCUCAGCAUGUCUUGGAGACAGGAGGUGAAUUUCGUUGCUGCCUAACAUAGGGACACACCUUGGGCCAGGAGAAGUCUCUAGACCCUGGAGAGCCCGCUGGGCAGUGUGGUGAGCAUCUAGAGUCCCACACCGAGAGGCUCUGAUCCCAUUAGACUUGAGGAAGCACCUGGCAGUGCACACUUGUACCAGAUGGUCUUGAAGCCCAGCUGAAUCCGGUGAUAUCUACAGAGACUGGGAGAAGGAACUUUCCUUAUUAGGGGAGGUGACCACAGGAGGAGAUGAGUACUAGAACCGAGGUCUUCUGGCUGAGGAAUUAGACUAAAAGAAUUACGUACAGAGACCCCAGAAUAGUGCACACCUUAUUACGAUGUGUGCAUUGUCCAUGAAAGGGCUGGUUUGCUGGGUGUCAG
rnacentral:lncRNA from 1 species